GAUGAACGCUAGCGGCAGGCUUAAUACAUGCAAGUCGAGGGGCAGCAUGAUUGUAGCAAUACAAUUGAUGGCGACCGGCAAACGGGUGCGGAACACGUACACAACCUUCCAAUAAGUGGGGAAUAGCCCAGAGAAAUUUGGAUUAAUACCCCGUAACAUAACGAUGUGGCAUCACAUUGUUAUUUUAGAUUUUUCGCUUAUUGAUGGGUGUGCGGCUGAUUAGAUAGUUGGCGGGGUAACGGCCCACCAAGUCUACGAUCAGUAGCUGAUGUGAGAGCAUGAUCAGCCACACGGGCACUGAGACACGGGCCCGACUCCUACGGGAGGCAGCAGUAAGGAAUAUUGGACAAUGGACGCAAGUCUGAUCCAGCCAUUCCGCGUGAAGGAUUAAGGUCCUCUGGAUUGUAAACUUCUUUUAUAAGGGACGAAAAAAGGCUUUUCUAAGUCGUCUGACGGUACCUUAUGAAUAAGCACCGGCUAACUCCGUGCCAGCCGCCGCCGUAAUAC
rnacentral:rRNA from 1 species